rnacentral:lncRNA from 1 species
AAACUUCAAAAACCCCCCAUGUGGUUUCGUAGUUUCUCACUUUGCCCUCCUGUGAUUUAAAAUGUAUCAAUUUGUCCCCCUAUGGUUUCUUUUUUCUCUUUUUCUUAUCAAUUUCAUUAUUUUUUUUCUUAAAUCAGUGAUAAAGUUAAUUUAAAGGAUACUAAAGUGAAUAUUUGAUAAAUCCAGAUGGGUAUUUGAAGUUUUUUGUAUAUAAUUUAAUGAAAUAUUAACGAAAAAGUUAUCGAAAAGAUAAAAACAAUACCACAGGGGGGCAAUUUGAUACAUUUUAAACCACAGGGGGGCAAAGUAAAAAACUAUGAAACCACAUGGGUUUUUUUUUUGAAGUUUUCCCAAAAUCUAUUGCACAACAACAAAAU